AACGAGAAUUUUGACACUAAUUUCAAAAAAUUUAGCUCAAAAUUAGAUCGAACGGGUCAAACCGAUUGAACCGGGACCGUAGGCCCAACUGCCCAGCACUUAAAUGAGCCAAUGACUCUUCUUCCUCCUCACUUCAGAACGCGCUGAAGGCAAUAAGCAGGGGAGAAGGAGAAAAGAAACUUCCUAACCCUUACGGUAAUUCAAAUCACCGUAACUUCUCCGUCUAAACUCCGAUUGCUACACCAUUUGCGGCCACGCGAUCAUCGCGUCGAGCUCUACGAUUCUCCAAGAAUAAUUUCAAAAGAUCCAAUUAGCUUGAGAAAAACGUUCACUCUUGCUUAUAUGAAGCUUGGGUAAGGUUGUGAAUAAAUAAUUGGAGCUUGAAAUUGUGGAUAUCAGAACUUGGAGGAAGCUGUUUUAUUGAACUUUUGGGGCUGUGUUUAUUUUAGUAAAUUGCCUUGAACAAUACGCGGAAAAUCGGCUAAGAUGCAGGUCGAGAGGCACCUCCUUAGGCGUCUGAGCUCUUGAAGAGAAGUGGUUAUCGGGUUACUUUUUUGGAUUGUAUAGUCAUAUAUGUGUGUGUACCUAGUAUUCUCUCUGCAUGAUUUGUUCCUUUCGAUCCUCUUAAAGGCUUAUGGAGAGACAGGAUUUUGUUUAUGUAAAUUUGGGUUUGGAUAUGUAUAUAUAUGUGUAUAUAUUCUCCGGCCAGUCUUGACUUCGCGGGCUGAGUUAGGAGCUUGUUAUUUUGUAUCUUUGGCCCUCCAUUCCUACUUUUGUUAUC